CUUGCAGCCAUAUCAUAUUGAAACACCGGUUCCCAUAAGAUCACUGAAGCUAAGCAAUGUCAAGCCUGAUCAGUACCUAGAUGGGUGACUGUUUGGGAAUGCCAAGUGCUGUAAG